GCGUAAGCUGUGGGUCCUACGGUUUCAACUCUAGGAUUUGCGAGAAGAAAAUACAAGAGUGAGUCUUGUCCAAUCUUUUACACCACCACCUCCUUGUAAGGUUUCAUCUUCUGAUCCAGAAGAGUCUGAGAGAUCCAAAGAAAGGAGCUUGGAUCAGCCAUCUAGAGCCUUCAAUGCGAGCUAGCACUCCCAUAAAAGAAGAUCUGACCAGGACUUCGAGUGGACGAUC
rnacentral:lncRNA from 1 species